CGGCACCAUAUCGACCCUUACAGAGGCGAGAUCUCCUUCAUACAAAUGAACAUUGCGGAAUCGGUCUGCCGAACAGGGGGUCUGUAAGAAAAGGAAACGGACACAAGUUGUGUUGCCUUACAACAUUUCAGGAAGAGUGCAUACACCGAUCAACCAUCUGAAUAGGUUUGUUGGUGUAACUGACAACGAUUCCCUAGUCAAUUUUCGGAUGGACCAAAAUGCAUUCAGAAAUUUGUGCUCUAUGUUUCGUCGAAUUAGGGGUCUGUAAGAAAAGGAAACGGACACAAGUUGUGUUGCCUUACAACAUUUCAGGAAGAGUGCAUACACCGAUCAGCCAUCUGAAUAGGCUUGUUGGUAUAACUGACAACGAUUCCCUAGUCAAUUUUCGGAUGGACCAAAAUGCAUUCGGAAAUUUGUGCUCUAUGUUUCGUCGGUAUGGCAGUUUGCUCAACAAGCGGUUUUUGUAUGUAGAAGAACAAAUGGCAAUAUUUUUAGGUGUCCUCGCUUACCAUAAGAAGAAUCGGGUCAUUCACUUUGAUUAUUGGCGCUCUGGACAAAUCGUGUCUAAAUACACGUAUAAGGCUUUGUUGGCAAUACUAAAGAUGCAUACCUUAUUCAUCGUAACGCCUAAACCUAUUCAAGAUGAUUGUGUGAAUGUUGAUGGAAAAGUUUCAAGGGGUGUCUCGAUGCUUUGGAUGGAACAUUUAUCAACGUCUUUAUCCAUAAUGCGGACAAAUCUAGGUUUCGCAAUAGAAAAGGCCAAAUUACUACCAACACAUUAGCAGCGUGUGACAGACACAUGCGUUUUACAUAUGUAUUACCUGGUUGGGAGGGUUCAGUCGGGGAUGCCCGUGCCCUGCAGGAUGCUGUGAAUCGUCCUAAUGGCCUGCAUGUCCCCGUAGUUAACCAUACCUGCUAUGUUGAUGUUGUCAAGCACAUUAUGAUGUUGUCUUUCGUUCAACUAUAUAUAAAAUCAACUACAUUUUCAUUUUAA